GAUGAAGAACGCAGCGAAAUGCGAUAAGUAAUGUGAAUUGCAGAAUUCAGUGAAUCAUCGAAUCUUUGAACGCACAUUGCGCCCGUCAGUAUUCUGGCGGGCAUGCCUGUUCGAGCGUCAUUACGCCCCUCAAGUCCCCUGUGGACUUGGUGUUGGGGAUCGGCGAGGCUGGUUUUCCAGCACAGCCGUCCCUUAAAUUAAUUGGCGGUCUCGCCGUGGCCCUCCUCUGCGCAGUAGUAAAACACUCGCAACAGGAGCCCGGCGCGGUCCACUGCCGUAAAACCCCCCAACUUUUUAUAGUUGACCUCGAAUCAGGUAGAACUACCCGCUGAACUUAAGCAUAUCAAUAAGCGGAGGA
rnacentral:misc_RNA from 1 species